GACCUCGGGCCCCUAAUGCAGUCAAGAACAGACUACCAAAGUCCAAUCACAAGAAGUAACACUACCAUCAGCCUUGGACCACGCCAACAAGGAAAUGUCGACCAACCCGUCGGGGAGGUCGCUGACAUCAACGCUCCUGUACAGACUCGAGCCCAGAAAUUCAACAAGACAUCUCAGCGGAAGACACAUCCCAGACAGAAAUAGCUAAACCAAUCACGAAUAUGAAAAAGACUAGUGGCAGCAAAUACCGAACAGAGGCUAUUCUGUUGAAGAUUUUGCGUCCGUUUUAUGCAUAUGUAUAUUUAAUAUUACAUUUUUUCUUUCCCCCUUCCAAAAUUUUUUUUUUCUCUUCUUUUUGCUCCCUCUCCUUUGGCUUGCUGUUUUGACCUUGCACAGAUUUAAAUGUCUACU